rnacentral:lncRNA from 1 species
CUUCAAUCUCCUUUAUUAUUUUUCUUUUGAAGAAUCAAACUUGUCCAUCUCUCCCCUCCCAAGUGACUUUCCUCACUCAUGUAAUCAUUUUCUUCAUAAAUGCCCUUUUACUAUCCCACAGAAAAAGUAAAGAUUUAAAAAAUCAUUUUUAAGGUACAUCCAAGAUUUCAUAGCAAUAUUUUAUUUGUGUUCACAGUGCAAGAUAAAUCUGACUUUCUCAAUAUUUUUGGUCUUCAUAUGGCAUCUGAAACAGUUGUUCACAUUCACACAUUUAUGUUUCACCAUAUGCAUACUGUGUACAGCUCUGUUGUUCUAAAAUAUUUUAUUGGUUUUCCUUUAUAUCUCAACUUUUGAUGGGUGUCCUUGAAGAACUUUCAUGAAAAAAAUGUAAAUGUGAAUGAUUCAUUCAUUUUGAACAUAUGUAACUAUUUUAGGAGAUUUUCAGGAGAUUUUACCCUACAUGGAGUACACUGUUCUUAGCAGGGAAUGUGCUUUAUAUUACUAUUCUACUCACAGCUGGAUGCUGCAGAUGUAUUAACAUUGUAAACAUGUACUUUUUCUAUUCUAUGCUUACUUUAAUACAUUAUUUAUAUGUGCUAGACUGUGCUGAGUUUUGGUGGUUGUCAAAGGCAGUCAGUAAUUUUAUAAAUUUCACUUUUGUGGAUAGUUAAGUAUAACAUGGUUUAGUAUAAAAUCUGGUCUUCCUCUAGAUUUCUAAGUCACUAGAAGAAUUUCUUGGCAAAUUGAUUGUUCAAGGCCAGUUUUGUUAGUUGUAAGGUGGAAGCCACCCCAAUCCUCUCCCAGUGUUUCAUAGGCAUUUUCAGACCUGGAUGCUAUUAUAGUUCCUCCUCUAGUUUUCCAGUAGAGAAUUCGUAUGUGGUCCAGAGGUUCAAGAGAGAGAGAGAAAAAAUUUCUCCUCAAAAGAAUUGAACCCUUACUUUAGAAACUUCUGACAAUCUUCAGAACAUUCCAUGUGGGUGUCCUUGUGUUUCUCAUAGUAUGACUUAUUGAUUCAUGGUGUCUCUUAUUAAAGAAGCAUGAAUGUAUCACUAGCUGUUACCAGAACAAACAGCUGUAGAAUGUAAUGACCCAUCCUAUUUCUAAAUUUACUUCUAUCAGUGGAUAAUUUGUGUAUAGGAAAAGGUGUGGAAAUUUUUUAAUUGUUAAAAACUGGAAUACCUUUCUACCUUUUGUAGUCUUUAAGAUUUCAUAAUGAUGGUUUUAAUGUAUUACUAUCUUACUAUUAUGUAUUGUGUUUAAACAAGACCAAUCAGUGAAAUAUUGAAUGUCAAUACUUUUUGUUAGAAAUGCCCUCUGAAAAUGUUAGAAAAUGUAAAACUUUACCUGUGACAAGGAAUAAAUUCAUGAUUAGAAGAAUUAUACUGUUUUUCUUGUGCAAAUAAUACUUAAGGCAGAUGUUCAGUCUCACAGUGAUGUUGGAAAGCAUAUUUUAUGCAGUCUAAACACUAUUUCUGUAUUAGAUAUUUAAAUGCAUGAGGAUAAAUUCUAAUUGCUUUUUGUUUAAAACAGAAACAUAGAAGAAGCAUUAGCCCCAGUUUGUAUAAAAUGUCUGCUGCAACUGAAUUCAUGAUAGUUCAUGAAAACUGAAAAUCAUUCCAAUUUUGUAAAACUGCUGCUACUGGUUUUAUCAAUAAAGUUUUAGCAGAUGGCUUAUA